rnacentral:misc_RNA from 1 species
UCUCCGUUGGUGAACCAGCGGAGGGAUCAUUACAAGAGAAAAGAGCGCCUCGCGGCCUCGCCCUCUUCAACCACUGUGUACCGAAUCUCCGUCAUCUUUGCGGGUCCGGCGCCCCAGGCGCCGCCCGCGGAGAGCACCCAAAAACAUUCAGUUUGAUGAACGUCUGUUUACAAUUUAAAAAGAACAACUUUUAACAAUGGAUCUCUUGGUUCCG